CGGGACUGGGCCAAUUGUAUAAGU
rnacentral:miRNA from 1 species